rnacentral:rRNA from 1 species
CGCGUAGGCGGCCUUCUAAGUCGAACGUGGAAUCCCUGGGCUCAACCCAGGAACUGCGUCCGAGACUGGUGGGCUCGAAUCCGGGAGAGGGAUGUGGAAUUCCAGGUGUAGCGGUGAAAUGCGUAGAUAUCUGGAGGAACACCGGUGGCGAAGGCGACAUCCUGGACCGGUAUUGACGCUGAGGCGCGAAAGCCAGGGGAGCAAACGG